rnacentral:rRNA from 1 species
CGGGGGAACUGAAACAUCUAAGUACCCCGAGGAAAAGAAAUCAACCGAGAUUCCCCCAGUAGCGGCGAGCGAACGGGGAGGAGCCCAGAGCCUGAAUCAGUGUGUGUGUUAGUGGAAGCGUCUGGAAAGGCGCGCGAUACAGGGUGACAGCCCCGUACACAAAAAUGCACAUGCUGUGAGCUCGAUGAGUAGGGCGGGACACGUGGUAUCCUGUCUGAAUAUGGGGGGACCAUCCUCCAAGGCUAAAUACUCCUGACUGACCGAUAGUGAACCAGUACCGUGAGGGAAAGGCGAAAAGAACCCCGGCGAGGGGAGUGAAAAAGAACCUGAAACCGUGUACGUACAAGCAGUGGGAGCCUCUUUAUGGGGUGACUGCGUACCUUUUGUAUAAUGGGUCAGCGACUUAUAUUCUGUAGCAAGGUUAACCGAAUAGGGGAGCCGAAGGGAAACCGAGUCUUAACUGGGCGUUAAGUUGCAGGGUAUAGACCCGAAACCCGGUGAUCUAGCCAUGGGCAGGUUGAAGGUUGGGUAACACUAACUGGAGGACCGAACCGACUAAUGUUGAAAAAUUAGCGGAUGACUUGUGGCUGGGGGUGAAAGGCCAAUCAAACCGGGAGAUAGCUGGUUCUCCCCGAAAGCU